rnacentral:lncRNA from 1 species
CACAGUUUGGCAUUUUCUUCUCCUCUCCCAUCCUCCUUAUACUACUCCGAGAUACCAACUCCUAUACUAUAGAUGAUAACUACUUUUUCUAACUAUUCAUCCAUUCUGUCUGUUGAACCACCUUUUCAGCAGUUAUCUAUCCCUGUUUACACUAUAUACUAGGUAUCUACAUUCUGAAAAUAACUACUUAUUCUACAAAUUAAAAUAUACUUUUUUCUAUAAAUUAUUGUUGUAAGAAUUGUAGACACAAUUAUUCCAUGUAAUUCACUUCUCUACAAUUUGUAAACCACAAUUU